rnacentral:lncRNA from 1 species
UGACCGUCGAAGGAACCUAUAAAUAGGGGUUGAUCUCCUUCCAUUUUUAAUUUCAUUGUUUUUGCUCCGUCUCAAGUCUGUCCUGCCCCCUUCGUAGCAGAGAGCUUAGGUAGUGCCGUUGGCGAGUCAUCCUCUCCAACGUCGGUCUUCCGUCGCCGUCAUCGUUGCCGUCGAUCUUUUUUUUCUUAAAGGCUUCUUUCUCGAUCUUUUUCACUUCUUUUUUUCUUUUAAAUCUUCUUCUGUUCUACUUUUGAUGGCUUCCACUGGU